ACUUUGCUGCUGCUUCAUUUUAUGUUUUACGUACUUUCUAAAUGUCAAAAUAACUCUUUCGAUGCAAAUAAAAUAAUGUUGUUUUUGUUUGAGAUUUAAUUUAUUGUAUCAAACAUAAUGCGUUGAAAUUGAGUUAUACGCGCGUUAAAUGUUACGACUUCGGGUCGCGAAUAGUCGUAAUAUGUUAAACAAAAGUAUAAUUUGUGUGUCCAAAUAACUUCUUGUGUCAAAUAGUUUUCUUGUGUUUUUCCUAUUAUUUUGGGUUAUUUCACGUUUUUAGUAUAUUUUUGAAGUGUUGUUCUUGUGUUAUUUAUUAUAUAUGCUUUGAAGUACUAUAGUUUUGUUGUAAAAGUGAAAUAAUCUCUAUGUUGUGAAAGUGUUGAGGUUAGUUUUUGUUCGCGCUAUUUUGGGGUAGCUACCCCUGAUUAAGUCUCCGGUUUGGUGAGUAAUAGCGAGUAAGUUCUUUACCGAAGGAUUUCCAAUGUCGUUAAGAAAAAUUCCAGAAUUAUUUUAGUUGCAAAUGCAUUUGUUUGUAUUGAAGAUAUACUUACUUAGUGACCCACAACAAGCAGACAUCUUAUACAAUGCAUGCAAAAUUAGACAAUUUCAUGUAUAUGCAGUCUUUGCUUUUAAAGUAAGAAAUGAAUUCAUUCAUAUAUCCUUUAAUUACCAGAGAUUUAUAAAAAAACUAAUGUUGUCUAUUCAUAAAACCAUGAAUGACACAACAAUCUUGUUUGUGUGCAAGCCUAAUCUGUAUUUUUGUACAUUAUUAUCUCCAAAAUCGAGAUUUAUAUGGGUUAUGUUAGACUUUGCAUAACAGUACAUACAUUCUACAAGUUAUGCAAAUAUAUAUAUAUAUGGUGGUUUACAAUAGUAAGUAAAUUUUUCAUCAAUUCAAUAAAUAAUGCAUCAAAUAAACAACAAUGCCACACAUGACAUGUAGCAUUUCUUUUUGAGUUAUUUGAAAAGUGAAUUGACAGUCAUAAUCUUGAAACAGAGAAAUGCGACUUAAAAAUGAUAAUUGUAGAGUGAUGAUUUAGUAUUGCGUUCAAUCCCCAACAAAAAGGAUUUUAUCUUGGCCCAUUGAAAUGAAGGAAGACUUAGUUUAAAAAUUGGUUUCGAAUCCCAAUUACUUUAAUAAGCGACUUGUCGUAGAACAAGGUCGCCAUUGUACAUAGGUUGCCGGAGACUAUGAAUCUGAAAGGCUGUGUGAAAAAAAUCUUCUCUUUAUGCUGAUGAGUUUGUUCCUAUGCCCAUUUUUGCAGAAAGCUAUGAACUUGGCACAGGAAUAAGCAGAUAUUUAAAUACAACUAGCAGACAUCUAGUUGUCAUUGGGUUCAAAUCCCAAUAUAAUAGAGUGUUAUUGUAUCAGUUACCCUACAUUUUUUUUGGGUUCGAUUCCCAAUGUAUUACACAAAUUUUUAAUUUGGUUUUGAUUACUGGCUUAUCAGCUGUGUUAAAUUUGGGUUCGAAUCCCAAUAUAAUACAGUCAAUGUUUUUUACCAUAUGUUACAUUUGGGUUUGAUUCCCAAUAUUUAUUAUUUUAAAAGAUGGGUUCAAUUUCCAUUUAAUUAAUGUAAUUAAAAAAAUAAACAUUUUUUUAUAAAAAUAAAUUAAUUGAAUGGAAACCCAUUCAAUCCUAUCUGGGUAAGAAUGGAAUGGAAUGUCUGGAAUAUAAGUGUGUUUUGGUAAGAAUGGUAUAUUGUGGUCCACAUAAUUAUGUAAAGGAGUGUAUAAGUAUGUAAUGCUCAAUAUUAAUUUAGGAAAGCCAAUGCCCCAACAGUGUGGACAUAAAAAUGUUUAAUGACCAAGUUUAAGGAGAUUGACAUUUUCUGCCAAUUAAUGGUUUGUUGUGGAUAAAAAUAUGCUAAUUUUGGCAAACUAUGACAGGUUCGACUCCUGUCAAAAGUUUGACCAAGUGUUUAAAAAAUUUAUUGCCAAGGUAAACAUUUAUUGUUUACCAGAGUGUGUGUGAACAGUUGAUGAAGUCUUUCGAUAAGUAGAAGUAUGCCUAUUUAAGGUAGGAUUUAUAUUUGUCACGAACACAGUGAUCUUGGUCAUAUUCAUGUUCUGCAUAUGAUCAUGGAAAGCGAGCCCUGGGCUCUGAUGCUAUAUGGUUGAGGAAGAAAGUGGGAAAUCGCUCCAAUGAGAAAUGCAAUUAUAAUGGGUUCAAUUCCCAUAACCUUGGUUAGAUUCCCAGAAUUGUGUUACAAUGGGUUCGAUUCCCUAACACAGGUGGUUAUCUUAAAUGACCGGGAACUCACUGAGAUGAGAUGUAUGGUUAAACUGGGUUGAUUCCCAGAAUUAUGUUACCAUGGGUUCGAUUCCCUAAAACAGGUGUUAAUAUAGUUAAAAGGUGAAAGUUUUGAUCAAAAUCUUGUAGAUUUUGGAUGAUUGAACGUUUGUUCAAUCUUCAAACAUCUCCAAACUUUGAAAUUUUUAAUAUUAUGUAGGUACAUAAGAAAUAAAAAUCCUACAUCUAUUCUAAAUACCUAUUUAUAUAUUUUUUUAUUUCUAGUCAAUUUAAUAGAUGUAGGAUUUUUAUUUCUAGUGUGAUGUGGUUUACAAUAAGUAGGUAAAUGGUCUAUUUGAAUAGUCACAUUGUUAAUAGUUUUUUAAUUACUAUAAUACAUGAAAUGUCUAGUUUAAUAAGAUAUCUGUGCUUUUGCAUUUGGAGUCCUUCAGUUAUUAAGUCUCUGCAAUAUUUAAACCAUGGUGCCAUAAUUGAACUUCCAAAAUAUUUACAUAGAAGAUCGAGUUUUCGAAAAAAAAUAUAUAAUAGCUUUUUUCUAUGUGUGAAAUGUAAUGUUUUUUAUUAAUAAAAAUAAAAUAAAAAAAAAGGAAAAAACAAAAUCAAAUAAAGAUGUGAGGGAUGGUUGGUGUGAUUAUUUACCUAGUACCCUUUCCUUAUUCCUACCUAAUUUAAAAUUUAAUUUAUUUUAUAACAUGUUUUCUUACUAUAAAAUUUAAAUUUAAAAAAUAGUAAGGGAACAUGAAGCAUCGUUUUUUUAAAUAAAGUAUUUUAGGGUGGUGGUUCGCUUUUCAUUUAUUCCCCCAUGGUAAUAUGGUAUAAUUUUUGGUUUUACUCACAGUUCCAGCUCAGUUCAUACCGGGGCGGACUGGUGCGGGCUUACUCAUACUGAACGGAUUCACAUUUUACAUGAAGAACCACCAGGCUCGGGGGAAGAAACAGUGGUACUGCUCGUCCAGGGACGUCCAUGGGUGCCGCGCUGAUGUCAUCACUUACAGGGGCUACGACGGCCGCGAUUACAUUUCCAUUUUCAGAGGGCGCCACAUUCACAAUCCACCGAAACUAAGAAAGUGUCACGACGGAAGAUAUAUACGCGAGAAAGAUCUUUUUAACAAAUUGUUAUUACAGUAAUCAUAUUUAUAUACACAUAGGUUUUAUUUUUAUGUUCUUAAAUCAUGUGAUGUACUUAUUUUUUUUAAUAUACGAUGUGUCUUCUCGCAUGUUUCUACUGUAGGGACCUGCUAGUUAGUAGACGUAUGAAUUUUGUGAAGUAUUUUAGAGUACAAUAUUCUAAUAACAUUUUCAUGUUUUAUUUGUUCCCCUGUACUUUUGUUUCUUGAUGCUAAUAGUAUGAUUUGUAUUGGCUUAAUAACUCUGAAGUUAAUAACUUUAUGCAACAGUCAGCAAAAUGAUUAAAAUGGAGUUAUAAAUUUCAGAUUGCGUCAAAUAACAACCAAGGUUAUAGGUUUUGAAUAACAUGAUACUUUCAGGAAUAUACUAUCUUCCUUCGCACCGAACUGGUAGUAUGGUGCUCAUAUUCAAAGACAACAAGUACUGGAUCAACAACAGGUACCAGAACACUAUUAACUGGACCUGCAGGGACCGGAAGCGCUUGGGCUGCAACAGCUGCGUGCAGACCACCGUCGAAGGCAGAUACAUCAAGCACAAAGGCUUUCACAACCAUGAUGAUAACUACACUAAGUACAAUUUUAAUAAUUAAUUUAUUUUUUUAAUCAUUAAAAUUGUCGUAGACCAAUUGUUACUUUUUUUAGGGUUUCAAAAAGCAAAAAUACCUAUCUUCUUUAUUUUUUUACCUGUUCGUAAAUAAAAUAGUUGAAAACAUAAAUAGUUUUCCAUUUUGCUUGAUUCACGAAUGGACUCGCCUGAUAAGAAUCUUUACAUUCCUUUUAUAGAAAACCGGGUAUCCAUACGUGGAAGCAGCUAGAAAUACUCCAUCAGCUAAGUUUGACGAACGUAGCGAUUUCAACGUGUAUUGCUGGUUUUACCAUGCGGUUUUAAAAAAAUCACGAAUAAACUACGCAAUGUACCUACGCCAAAUCGCAUCGUUUUAAUCCGUAGAUAUUGGAUUUCUAGUAACCCAAGUAAUAAAAUUUGCUCUGACUAGAGUCAGAGCAAAUUUUUUUACUUUGGUUAGUAGCGAUUUGGAAAACUAAAUCAAUAAAAAUAAAGACUAUGAGAUUUUUUAAAUUAGAUGUACCUAUAUAAAUUUAAAACUGUGCUGUGAGUUAGAAUGGACUUUUCGAUUGUAUUUGGGAAACAAAGCUUAAAAUAUAAUCUGCGUAAACGCCACCUAGUGGCAGCAUAUUGUAUCUCAUGAGAUUAGUUGCCAAGAUUUGACAAUAGAUGGAAGUAGUAGUAACAAAGUGGAGAUGUAAAUUAAUAAAAUCCAAAUUCUGACGUCUCCGUAUUUUUUAUGAUAGUAAGUAUUUUUUAUAUGGUAGUAGUAGCAACCUAUUAUGAAUUUGGUUGUUUUUUUUUAACUUAGUGAUUUUCUUAAUUUUUAUACCUACAAGAUGUGUUGAAUACUUAUUAUUUAAAGUAACUAAGCUUUUUUUAUAUUUUAAUACAGUGACUGUUCGCUGGCCCUAUGAACCAGGCAUGAUAAUAUGUUGUAUACGUAUGUUAUACUUACAGUAUUGUAAAUUUAUAUUGUUUUUUCGUAAAUAUGACAAAAUGCAAAUUUAAACAGUGACAAAUUUUGCCAUAUAAAACAAAUAACGUAUUUUUCUAUAGAUGAGUUGAACUGAACUAGUAAUAAAAUACUUCAUAUGAGAUACAAAGAACCCAUAAAAUUAGGUUAAUUUAUAAUUAGUUUCCCUUUUACUGUACUAGUCAAUAUGUGUCGAAGAAUUUUGUCUUUAUCACUUAAAAAGUACUUAUUGAAAAGUGCCAAACAAAAAACGUAAUUUAUUCAGUAAAAUGUACGUAGUUUAAAAAAAAGUUAUAUUUGUUAGUAAGUAGCUUUUUAUAAAAAUUGAUAUUAGGUCUUAUGUUGAAAUAUAUUCCUUCCAGAAUAUAAUGAACUUUUGGGAAUACUGUUUUUUUUUUACUUUUAUGUAUAUGAAAAAUAUAAAAACCUACUUCAAACAUUAUUUAUUAUCUAUAUGAUGAUAAUGAUAACACGACUGUAUAGUCGAACAAAAAACAAUAUUUGUGCUUGAAAGGAAAUAAUAAAAUGUAUUAUUUAUCCGUAAGUGCUAUGUAUAUUAAACUAAUUGAAAUAAAUCAUUGAUGUAUACAAUUAUAAUAAAUGAUAUGACCGGAAUAUAGUCAACAGCAUGACAUUACGACGUACUGCAGUACAUUCUUACGGCAACAGCGUCGAAUUUGCAUGGUUGGGCUGAUGUGUUCUCGACUGUAGCAAGAGCGAGAAUGGUUUUAGUUAUAAAUGCAUUGUUGGUUUAAAAAAAUCUUGUACUCACGUUUAUUCAAUAUUACAGCGCAAUUCGUGCAGACGCGAAACAACAAGUUUUUAUUGAUGCUCAAUUCGUACACGUUCCGGUACCACCUCCGUCUGGUCACUGGGAAACGGUACAGAUGCUGUCAGGAGAGACAAUGCAGCUCGUACGUCGUCGUGGAUGACCAAGGCGUCAUUGUGAAGAAGAAGGAACAACACGACCAUCCUCCGCUAGAGUAUUACGUGAAGAAUGGAAUUUAUCAUCGGCUCUAGAAUCUCUGGAGCGUUGAUUUCUGGUUAUGUUUUUAAUUAAAAAAUCAUGGAGUUUAUAGAAAGAAAUCAUGUAGACAUAUUAAACUGUUAAGAGUGUUGAUCUAGGAAGUUGAAGCCAAGUUUUACCAACACUAUACGGCCAUCUUAACUUUGGACCUCGUUAUGUGAAAACCUUUCCAGUUUCACCUUCUAUCGUGCGUCCCGUUACUACAGUACCGCUAGCAGUUCCGUUGCUGAUACUUGUGAUAUUUUCGUUGCCUGUUUUGCACACCGUGCCAGAGCGCAGAUGUUACUUUAUCGACUCCCAAGGUCCCAAGUUAAUGGCCAAGUACAUUGAUCGAAAGGCAGUGUGAAAUACAUAUUGUAUGUUAUGCUUUGUAAAUAAAUAUUUUACUUUUAUUUGAUUUAGGUGUUCAAUAUAUUUCAUACUAAUGCAUUUUUAUACCAUUAUUACUGAUUUUUCAGCUGUAGGUGCCAACAAUAGCUUAACGAAGUUUUUCUACGAACGACUUAGCUUUUUGGUAUCUACUACGUUUAGUACCUUUUUCGUCAUUCACGUUUUUUUCAAUAUUUCAGUGGAAUUUAUACAGACAAUCAACAACAGGCUAUUGUUAAAGCUAAAUUCGUACACGUUCCGUUACCACCUGCGCCUGCUUACCGGGACGCGGUACAGGUGCUGCCAGGAGAAGAAAUGCCGCUCUUACGUCAUCGUGGACGAUAAUGGCGUCAUUAUAAAGAAGAAGGAAGAACACCGUCAUGCACCGCUGGAGUAUUCGGUGAAGAACGGUAUUUAUCAUCGGAUGUAGAUAAUGAAAUUAUCUGUGUAGAUUUUAUAAGAUAUAUAAUGACGGAAGUAUGAAUAUUAUAAUUAGAACUAGCGAUGUGUCGCUGGGAAAUUCCCUUGAGAAUUCCCGCAGAUUUUCAAGAGAAAUUCUCAUCGGUAAUGUCACGGCAAUGAUCUGAAUAAAAUUGUUGGUUAUUAGAAUGUUUCCUGACUGUGUACCGAUGUGUCGUUGUUGAAAUUUCCGAGAAUGCGAAAAUUUCGAGAACGGCACAUCAGUACAAUAACAUUAUUUGAAGAGUCCGACUGAUAUAUAUUAAGCAAGAAGCAGCUUGAGCUAAGUCUUGCUUUAAAUCAAGAACGAUCUGAUAGUGCGAUUUUCGACAUCGUUUUGCAGCCAGGCAGCCAGCCAAUCACGCGGGGACCGCAUUUCGUAAUGACCGACACGGGCCGAUUACUGGUAAUCCACAACAGCUACGCCUACAGAAAACAUUGCAAGCUCAAAUCAGGGAUGAGACUCCAAUGUAUCUACAGUUAUAGGGGAUGCAGGGGAUAUUUGAUUAUUGACCAAGACCAGCGCAUUUUGAUGAGUAAUGAAAAGCACUUGCAUGAACCAACAAAGUAUGGGAAAACUAAAAGUGGAUUGUACUUUCGACAAAGAUGAUGACGUUGACAAUUCGCUCUGAAAUACUCUGAAUCAUUAUUACCAGAUUUAUUGAAAAGAGUUAGAGGAGCUUCUCCUAGAUUCAUAUUGUCAUGAUUGGGAUUCACAUACUGUAUUAUAAUAAUAACAUCUUUUAUGUCUGUCUUGUCAGCGUUAAUUUUAAUAAUAUACGUAGAUGGCUUAUCCACGAUUAUUUUCAUUACUACACCUAAUAUUACAAGGUUAAGGUUCGAAUCCUACUCGUGCCACAUGAGUUUGUAUACAAAUCUGACCCAUAUAUAGUAGUUUUCAUCGACCACCAGUUGCUUCCGGUGAAGGAAAACAUCGUGAGGAAACCUGCACUGGUUGAUUAUUAUUAACUUGUGUGUGAAAUGGAGAAGGUAAUGGCAUACCACUCCAUUGAUAAUGCCAAGAAAGUUGUUGUGUUUCAUUCCACGUAAUAAUCACGUCCCUCAGCCAUGAGGAAUACGACUAUGAAGAAGAAUAUUACCAUGCUUCAUACUAAAAGUGCUAUUGAGUUAAUAUCGCCUUCUCCAAAGGUUACACGUUUAUCUAUAUACUCAUGCAGGCCUCUAUAACCUGGGGUAUAAAGCCCGGUUUUCACUGUACUAAUGGUAUUGGUCUGUUAAAUCUCGAGCGCUAUUCUUACCAUGUGAUCGAACUUGGGCCACGAACACUCGUAUAGUGAAAACCCAGCUUUAAGCCCAUCAUUCAAAAGGAGACACAUAAUAAUUUAUUUUUUUACAUUAUUUCUGUAUACAAUACACACUUACCCCGUUAUUCAUAAAAAAAUUAAUGGAUACUGCUAAAUGUCAUAAAUUGGAAAGUGACAAAACACACUUACGCUUGUAUGCUUUAACUUUUAUGAAUGUCAGAUUUAGUAUUUAUUGUGGUUUUCUUUUUGAAAUAG